rnacentral:tRNA from 1 species
GCCCGAGUAGCUCAGGGGAUAGAGCGCCUGCCUCCGGAGCAGGAAGUCGUAGGUUCGAAUCCUAUCUCGGGCACCU